rnacentral:rRNA from 1 species
AAUAUUGCACAAUGGGGGAAACCCUGAUGCAGCGACGCCGCGUGAAGGAAGAAGUAUUUCGGUAUGUAAACUUCUAUCAGCAGGGAAGAAGAAAGUGACGGUACCUGACUAAGAAGCCCCGGCUAACUACGUGCCAGCAGCCGCGGUAAUACGUAGGGGGCAAGCGUUAUCCGGAUUUACUGGGUGUAAAGGGAGCGUAGGCGGCUGAGCAAGUCAGAAGUGAAAGCCCGCGGCUUAACUGCGGGACUGCUUUUGAAACUGCCCAGCUUGAUUGCCGGAGAGGUAAGUGGAAUUCCUAGUGUAGCGGUGAAAUGCGUAGAUAUUAGGAGGAACACCAGUGGCGAAGGCGGCUUACUGGACGGUCAAUGACGCUGAGGCUCGAAAGCGUGGGGAGCAAACAG